rnacentral:rRNA from 1 species
UGGGGAAUUUUGCGCAAUGGGGGCAACCCUGACGCAGCAACGCCGCGUGAGUGAUGAAGGCUUUCGGGUCGUAAAGCUCUGUCGAGAGGGAAGAAAUGUUUUGUGGUUAAUACCCAUGAUACUUGACGGUACCUCUGAAGGAAGCACCGGCUAACUCCGUGCC